AUGCCUCCCAAGCGCAAGUCCCCGGUUGCGACGGCGGCGGCCCCCGCAAUGCCGCCUAGGAUGACCCGGAGCAUGGCCGCCGGGAAGCGGGGCGCCGACGCUCCGGCUAAAAAGGAGGAAGCAGAGGCGGCGCCGGCGGCGGCCGGGGGGAAGGGCAGGAAGAAGGCCAAGAAGGAGGUGUCUGCGGUGGAGACGGUACUGUCGCCUCCUGCAGCGGCCAAGCAGAAGGUGAAGAAAAAUGCCAAGAAGGAGGUGGUGGCGGCCGCGGUAGAUGAUGGCGGUGCUGGCGCUGAAAGCGGGAAGCGCGUCAUCGUCGAGGCCUGCACCCAGUGCCAACAGUUCAAGAGAAGAGCUUUAAAGGUGAAGGAGGAUCUUGAAAGUGCUGUCCCUGGGGUUUCUGUGACAAUCAACCCUGAGAAGCCACGCCGUGGAUGCCUUGAGAUACGGGAGGAAGGUGGUGAUGUGUUCAUUUCACUGCAGAACAUGCCCCGGCCCUUCAAAAAGAUGAGGGAGCUCGACAUGGACAAGGUUAUCAAGGACAUUGCCCAGAAAAUUGCUUGA
rnacentral:rRNA from 1 species